GGGUUUGGCUUGGCCAGAUGUGGAGGUGGUAGUUCUAUUCACAAGGAUAGGAAAAUUUAGAAAGAAGAGUUUUCAAGAAGAUUUACAGUCUUAAUAUGAAUCAAGCACAGAAUUUACUGCAUCAAACUGAAGUUUAUCCAGGAGGUGAAGUUCUGGGGUCCAAAAAGGGAACCAAAGGAGACACCCAAUGGCCCCCAAAGCAAUGAGCAACCAGGCAUAGGGCUGUGUGAGCCCCUGAUUUCACUGUCUCUGGAAAUGAUUGGAACUGAAAAAGAGCAUGAGGAUUCUGGAUACUUGUUAAGGGAGGUGCAAUGCUGACGGGUGAGAAUGAACAUAAAACUGACAGUGAUGAGAGGAAGCCCUACCAUUCCAGACCCCUGCAUUCCUGGGGCUGCUCGGGGACCUGUGAAGGCAGCCUUCCUGGACACUUCCUGCUAGUACCUAGCCACCCACAGUUUAUCACUACUGUGCCUCCCCUCCCUUCAAAGUGACAGCUAAUUAAUUUGACUAAAAUCAUUCCUAG
ensembl:lncRNA